rnacentral:rRNA from 1 species
AUUGAACGCUGGCGGCAGGCCUAACACAUGCAAGUCGCACGAGUGGCGGACGGGUGAGUAACGUCUGGGAAACUGCCUGAUGGAGGGGGAUCACUACUGGAAACGGUAGCUAAUACCGCAUACCAUCGGAUGUGCCCAGAUGGGGUUGGCUAGUAGGUGGGGUAAAGGCUCACCUAGGCGAAGAUCCCUAGCUGGUCUGAGAGGAUGACCAGCCGCACUGGACCUGAGACGAGGUCCAGACUCCUGCGGGAGGCGGCAGUGGGGAAUAUUACACAAUGGAGGCAAGCCUGAUGCAGCCAUGCCGCGUGUAUGAAGAAGGCCUUCGAGUUGUAAAGUAAUUUCAGCGGGGAGGAGUUACCCGCACAAGAAGCACCGGCUAACUCCGUGCAAGCAGCCGCGGUUAUUC